CCUACGGGUGGCAGCAGUAGGGAAUAUUGCACAAUGGGGGAAACCCUGAUGCAGCGACGCCGCGUGAGUGAAGAAGUAUUUCGGUAUGUAAAGCUCUAUCAGCAGGGAAGAAAAUGACGGUACCUGAUGAAGAAGCACCGGCUAACUCCGUGCCAGCAGCCGCGGUAAUACGUAGGGUGCAAGCGUUAUCCGGAAUUACUGGGUGUAAAGGGAGCGUAGACGGCAGCACAAGUCUGGUGUGAAAUCCCGUGGCUUAACCACAGAACUGCUUUUGAAACUGUGAAUCUAGAGUGUGGGAGAGGUAAGUGGAAUUCCUAGUGUAGGGGUAAAAUCCGUAGAGAUCAGGAGGAAUACCAGUGGCGAAGGCGGCUUACUAGACCGUAACUGACGUUGAUGCUCGAAAGCGUGGGGAGCAAACAGGAUUAGAUACCCCAGUAGUC
rnacentral:rRNA from 1 species